rnacentral:rRNA from 1 species
AUUGAACGCUGGCGGCAUGCUUUACACAUGCAAGUCGAACGGCAGCGCGGGCUUCGGCCUGGCGGCGAGUGGCGAACGGGUGAGUAAUACAUCGGAACGUGCCCAGUAGUGGGGGAUAGCUCGGCGAAAGCCGGAUUAAUACCGCAUACGACCUGAGGGUGAAAGCGGGGGAUCUUCGGACCUCGCGCUAUUGGAGCGGCCGAUGGCAGAUUAGCUAGUUGGUGGGGUAAAGGCCUACCAAGGCGACGAUCUGUAGCUGGUCUGAGAGGACGACCAGCCACACUGGGACUGAGACACGGCCCAGACUCCUACGGGAGGCAGCAGUGGGGAAUUUUGGACAAUGGGCGAAAGCCUGAUCCAGCAAUGCCGCGUGUGUGAUGAAGGUCUUCGGGUUGUAAAGCACUUUUGGCGGGAACGAAAAGGACUGUGCUAAUACCACGGUUCGAUGACGGUACCCGCAGAAUAAGCACCGGCUAACUACGUG